UGCGGGUUGGUGUAAUAGUAACAUAAAUGGCUCAUGUCCAUUAGAUGAAAGUGCGAUUCUUUUGCCCGUUU
rnacentral:tRNA from 1 species